rnacentral:lncRNA from 1 species
UCCCCAAUCCCCACAGCCCGUUUCCUCCAAGGUCUCCUUUAGAUCUUAGAUCAGGGUCAUCUCCUCAGGAAGCCUCCCUGGAAUGCACCAUAGCCCCAAAGAUGGCGAGGAUCAUUUGAUUAAGCUCCUCCACCCCCACCAUUGCCCUGUGACUGGAGGCCAAGCCCUGCCCUCCUGUUGACAGAAUGGAGUCUUCCUUAUGCUGAUGAAUGAAGUGACCGUUAAUAAGAUGAAACCAGGCCAGAAAAAGCCAAAUGAGGAAGUUGGCAGCUUUGUAAGUGGUUUUUCAGGGGGAAAAGUGAGAAAAUGGACACUAAAAUGGAUCCUUUAAGUUGCUUUUCUGACCUGCUUAGCGGGAGAGCUGGAGAUUCCAGGCCAUUGGAGGGCUUCCCAGAUGGAAAGAGUUCAGAUGCAACAAAUAUUUACUGACGCCUACUAGGUGCCAAGGGCUCCUUGGGGCUCGAUGACAAACAGCUCGGAGGAUGCUUGGCACUCUCAAGCCUCAUUUGAGCCUCCCCAAAACUCUGAGAACAGAGGUUCAUUGCCUCUGUUCUUCAGAAGAGGGAACUGGCUCAGGGGGUCAAAUGGCCUGCUGAAGAUCACCCUGCCAAAAUUUUAUCGUGGAAGAGUUUUGCUUUUUGAAAAAUCCGAAUGUGAUAUUUUUGUGAUUAAAGAAAAAAAUCUCUUAAAUUUGUUGAUACUUGACUUGCAGCUUGAUCAUGUGGCUGCUUUUACACCAUCUCC